rnacentral:rRNA from 1 species
AGUGAACGCUGGCGGCGUGCUUAACACAUGCAAGUCGAACGAGAACGGAAUAUAGCUUGCUAUAUUUGUCAGCUAAGUGGCGCACGGGUGAGUAAUGUAUAGAUAACCUGCCCUUAAGAAAGGAAUAACAGUCGGAAACGACUGCUAAUGCCCUAUAUGCCUUUAAUACAUAAGUAUGCAAGGGAAACGCUUUAGUGCUUAAGGAUGGGUCUGUAUGGUAUCAGCUUGUUGGUGAGGUAAUGGCUCACCAAGGCGAUGACGCCUAACUGGUUUGAGAGGAUGAUCAGUCACACUGGAACUGAGACACGGUCCAGACUCCUACGGGAGGCAGCAGUGGGGAAUAUUGCACAAUGGACGAAAGUCUGAUGCAGCAACGCCGCGUGGAGGAUGACACAUUUCGGUGCGUAAACUCCUUUUAUAUAGGAAGAUAAUGACGGUACUAUAUGAAUAAGCACCGGCUAACUCCGUGCCAGCCGCCGCGGUAA